rnacentral:rRNA from 1 species
UACGUAGGGCGCAAGCGUUGUCCGGAAUUAUUGGGCGUAAAGAGCUCGUAGGCGGUCUGUUACGUCCGCUGUGAAAACCCAGGGCUUAACCCUGGGCUUGCAGUGGAUACGGGUAGACUAGAGGCAGGUAGGGGAGAAUGGAAUUCCCGGCGUAGCGGUGAAAUGCGCAGAUAUCGGGAGGAACACCGGUGGCGAAGGCGGUUCUCUGGGCCUGACCUGACGCUGAGGAGCGAAAGCGUGGGGAGCGAACAGG